rnacentral:rRNA from 1 species
GUGGCGCACGGGUGAGUAACACGCGGAUAAUCUACCCGGUAAUCUGGGAUAACAGUCCGAAAGGACUGCUAAUACCGGAUAAGCCCACGAGCUCUUCGGAGCUUGCGGGAAAAGGUGGGGACCUUCGGGCCUACCGUUACCGGAUGAGUCCGCGUCCCAUUAGCUAGUUGGUAGGGUAAUGGCCUACCAAGGCUUCGAUGGGUAGCUGGUCUGAGAGGAUGAUCAGUCACACUGGAACUGAGACACGGUCCAGACUCCUACGGGAGGCAGCAGUGGGGAAUUUUGCGCAAUGGGCGAAAGCCUGACGCAGCAACGCCGCGUGAGGGAUGAAGGCCUUCGGGUCGUAAACCUCUGUCAAGGGGGAAGAACCACCAGUCGGAUAAUACCCGGCCGGUCUGACGGUACCCCUAGAGGAAGCACCGGCUAACUCCGUGCCAGCAGCCGCGGUAAUACGGAGGGUGCAAGCGUUGUUCGGAAUUAUUGGGCGUAAAGCGCGUGUAGGCGGUCUGUUAAGUCUGAUGUG